rnacentral:sRNA from 1 species
UGAUAUCGAAUGCCGGUACAGCCAACAAU